CAGAUCUUUUUCUGUGGAUCUCCUCCUUUCUCUCAGUGGCUUCAAGCCUCAUGGAGACUGAUCUCAUUUUGCCGGACUAAUGGCUACAGCAGGCGGAGUGGAGCUUUAUUGUAAUGAGAGGAUUCCAUUACAGAGGUUAAGCCAUGCUCUGCUAAUAUGAUUCUAAUAUGAUAACAGUCUCCUUAACGAGGACUAAGGGUAAGUGGUGACUUCAGCCACUUGGUUUAGUGUGGACCUACGUGUGUGUGUGUGUGUGUGUGUGUGUGUGUGU